UUGGACGUCUGAGAGACAAAGAGAAAGCAUUCCUUCCAGCCAUAGACAGUGGUUAGGACAUCUUGGAUCAGCGAUCAGAUAUUUUUCUUCCUCCUUGAUGACACAUACCAUCAUCCGUGGGAUUCUAGAUGCCUCUUGAGGCUGAAGAAGAGGUGAAAAAAUAUGAUGCUGGACUCGAUCCCGGUCAGCAUUCAUACCACGAUGAAAUCACAGAUGUGCUGCCAUGAAUUGGAUACCACCGAAC
rnacentral:lncRNA from 1 species